AUUUAUUAGAUAAAAAGCCAGUUCAUGCUUUUAUAGUAUGAAAAUUGGUGAUUUAUAAUAACUUAGCAAAUCGCAAAGUGAAAACAGGCGAUAAAUCAUUCAAGUUUCUGACCUAUCAGCUUUCGACGGUAUGGUAUUGGCUUACCGUGGCAGUGACGGUUAACGGGGGAUUAGGGUUCGAUUCCGGAGAGGGAGCCUGAGAAACGGCUACCACAUCUAAGGAAGGCAGCAGGCGCGCAAAUUACCCAAUUCUAACAGUUUGAGAGAGGUAGUAACAAGAAAUAACAAUACAAGGCAGUUAAAAUGCUUUGUAAUUGGAAUGAUAGAAAUUUAAACCCUUUUUAAAGUAUCAAUUGGAGGGCAAGUCUGGUGCCAGCAGCCGCGGUAAUUCCAGCUCCAAUAGCGUAUAUUAAAAUUGUUGCAGUUAAAAAGCUCGUAGUUGAAGUUCUGCUGAAAGUAACCGGUCUGCUUUUAAUAAAAGUGGUAUCUUGGUAUGUAUUUAGCAAUGAUGUCCUUUGAAGUGUUUUUUACUUUAUUGUAAUAAAGCAUAUUCAGGACUUUUACUUUGAGAAAAUUAGAGUGUUUCUAGCAGGCUAACGCUUUGAAUACUGCAGCAUGGAAU
rnacentral:rRNA from 1 species